UGGAAUUGCACUGGAGACAGGGAUUCACGUCAGCCUGGGAUCAGCCCUGUGUUCUUGGCACCAACCAGGAGCUUCCCAGCACCUUGAGGAGUGGCGUGGCGUGGGCUGGGAACUGUGAGUGCUGGAGUAACCUGCAGAUGCCCACAAGGUCUCCCCAGAUGCACCUACAGGGAUGGGAUGAGCAGGAAAGUGAUGACAGGGAAGAAACCAGGACCAAAAGAAAGCCCAAAUAUGAGUUUCCAAUGUUUUCCUGGCUUCAGGUGUGAUUCUCCACUUCAAUGAACCCUCUGGGUUGGGUUAUGGAGGGAGAAGGAUUGACCACCUUCACCUGUGGUUUCCAGAAGAAGAGAAGGGAGCAGCCAGUUCUCCUCUCCAAAAACAGGCCCUGGGAGCUCAAUAGAUUGGAAGUAACUUAAUGAAAACCUACAGUUCGUCCAACAGAAUCAGCAGAAAACCCACCGUUCCUGGCAGGAGUUUCCAACGGGAAAACAUUGAGGACCUGGAGGAUCUCACCUAAAUCACUGCUGGGCCCAGGUAAUUACCCCUAGGAAGGAGCUGUGAUGGUUUGAAAACAUCUGUUUCUUUUUGGAAUAUGUGUACAUCUGCCCUUAAACAAGGUGAAAACUUGGUGUGAUAACUCUGAGGACUGAAUUUCUGCACUGCUAUGUUCUCUGCAAUUAGAUAACAGCUUAAAAUGUGAUUAGUGCGUUAUUUUUACCUCUCAGAACACACAGACACAACAAAACUCUCCGUUGAGAGCUGAUUUGAUGCCAGCUAAAUAUCCAGGUGGUACUCAGAAGGCACUGAUAAAUUCCUGAAACAUCUUGUGCAGAGUGAGAAUUUCCAUGUUUCUGAACUAUUAUUUCCCUCCCAUUCCCAGUGGGGCUCUUCACUGUCGCUUUAUCCGAAGUCCUUUAAGCUGUUACUCAGUUCAGUGUUUCCCUGGGAGGUUCUCUCAGGUAGAGGAAUCCCCUCAAUGUGCUGGUUAUGCUGGGAAAGAGAAAAUU